GUGGUGGUUCCGGCAUUACAGCAGAUACAUUAUAGUAAGAUUCUUCGACAUAUGUAAUAUUCUCAAUCCCCAUGGCUGUUGCGAGUUAAUACAGGCUAAGUUAUUGCAGUUUUGAAUUCCCAGAAAUUUUGUGAAAAAAUACCACUUAUUUUUGUAUUCACAGAAAAAUCAGAUUAACAACAUCCCUUGCCAAUUGCUGUAAAUUU
rnacentral:lncRNA from 1 species